AAUGAACGCUGGCGGCAUGCCUUACACAUGCAAGUCGAACGGCAGCAUGACCUAGCUUGCUAGGUUGAUGGCGAGUGGCGAACGGGUGAGUAAUGCAUCGGAACGUGCCUUUUAGUGGGGGAUAACGUAGCGAAAGUUACGCUAAUACCGCAUAUUCUCUGAGGAGGAAAGCAGGGGACCUUCGGGCCUUGCGCUAGAAGAGCGGCCGAUGUCGGAUUAGCUAGUUGGUGAGGUAAAGGCUCACCAAGGCAACGAUCCGUAGCGGGUCUGAGAGGAUGAUCCGCCACACUGGGACUGAGACACGGCCCAGACUCCUACGGGAGGCAGCAGUGGGGAAUUUUGGACAAAGGGCGCAAGCCUGAUCCAGCCAUGCCGCGUGAGUGAAGAAGGCCUUCGGGUUGUAAAGCCCUUUAGGCUGGGAAGAAAUAGAACCCUCUAAUACAGGGUGUGGAUGACGGUACCAGCAUAAGAAGCACCGGCUAACUACGUG
rnacentral:rRNA from 1 species